rnacentral:piRNA from 1 species
UCCUCUUCUCAUGUUGAGGGCCUGGCC